ensembl:lncRNA
AGGUUUUGCUAUAGUUGCUGGUGUGCUGGUUGUCCUUGCUGUCACAGCAACAGGAGCAGUGUUCCUUAUCCGUUUCCGAGUGUUCAAGAAAAGCUGCCAGACCAGAAGGGGACCUGGAGCCACAAACCAAGUCUUUGCAGAUCAAGAACAACGACACAGAGAACACCCUGUCCUGGCUGUACCUGCCCAGAAGGUAAAAGCUGGGUCAGCUCUGGUCUCCUAUGGACUGUAACGGAGGGGUUGGAACAUCAAAACUCAUCAAAGUGUGCUACACUUCUACGAGGGUUUCAAAACGCUUCUCUGGGGCUGAGGACAGUGCUGUGAAUCCCAGCAUGGGGAAAGAACAUGGCACUAAGUCCCAGAGCAAUCUGUGUGUAGUAAAGCAGCAUGCAAAGAUAAUGAACAAGACAAAGGCUCCAUGGGAUUUAACUGUUCCCUGUUUUCAGAUGAACGAUAAGAAACUUCUCCUUCCUGUACCUCCACUGCAAGAGAACAAACCACACCUCCAGAUCCCUGCCAAAAGGCCAAGAGGUCCCCCACCUCCUGUUCCUUCUAUGAAACCAGCCUCUUUUCACACUGAAGAGAUCUUUGCACCAGAGAGAAAACCGGCUCAUCUUCCAGUUCCCAAAGGCAAACCUCCACCUCCACCAAAGGCUUUAAAACCUCCAAUUAACCCCAGAGUAUGAAGCUUCUGAAGUUGGGCUGAUCGAGAUACCUGAAAUUCUCAGGGGCAAGUUUUUUGUCCCUUCAUUCCUCCACUUCUGGCAAAGACAAACAAGAAUGUCUUCCUGUUCUCUUUAAUAGAAGAACAACUGACUGACAGCUUUGAAAGAACAGGUCUGGUUUGCAAAGAGCAAGGAACUCUUUGGUGAUGACACCAAGCUACUGUCCAAAAGGAAACGGAAGCAGAAUCGCUACUUGCACUGAGGUGUAGACUGGGAGUAAGUUAUGAAAGCUGCUUAGCACAUUCUAACUCCUAGGCCACCGCUGCAAGAUGUGGCUGCACUGGGAUGCUCUGCACCUACACAGCUUUCCUGGGUACAGACCUGAGAAGAUCAGGGAAGUAUAGAUACUCCAGGCUUGUAAAUUGUAAACUCUUUGCUCCAUUUCUGGAUCUUUACAGCCUGCUUUUCAGCAUCAGACCAGACCUUGUCCUUCAAGUGCAAGUUGCAAGUUCUGAGAAAAGAAAAAUCCCUCUUGCCCUCUUCGGAGAAUAGUUUGUGUCCUCAAACCUGAACUAGCCUUGGAAUAAUGAGAUUAUGCACUGGAAACGCACUGAUUCUGGAAAGAUCCUUUUGGAUUGAAUUCUUUUAUUAAUCCCUUAGAUUACCUGUGAAACAAGAUUCCUCUGUUAAGUAGGUAGAGCUGGAGACGUGCUCCAAAGCAAAGCACGCAGGAGUCAAACCACUUGCUGCUUGCAAGUGCUCCCAGCGUUCUGGCUGUGCCAGUUGAAAAAGAGCUCCAGCUGCCACCACUGCACUUGGACAGAAGGGUUUAGAAAAGCAGAGUCAACAAACUCCUUCAUCAUUGAGUUCAUUUGCCCCUCGGCUCCAGAAAUAUCUGAGUAUUUCUCCCUUCCAGGAUAUACACACCUUGGUGUUCUCGUCUAAUUGCUCUUGUGCCAGUGUGUGUUAUUGUAAAGUUGCUAAUGAGAACCAGGCUGGGCACGGGGGAUUGUUAUUAUGGGACAGCAUCACAGCAUGAGUCUUUGCAUGAGGGUUUAUGACUGAGAGGUUCUUCAUUCGUUCACUCCUGUUGGCAUCAACACUGUUGACAGUAUUGGUCUGCUGGCAUAGAUGUGCACGAUACUGUUGGCAUUGAUGUUAAUGAUACUGUGAGGGUGCUGGCACUGAUGCUAUUGUUACCCUUGGCACUGAUGAUAUUCAUCAGUGGUUGGCAUCAAGAGUUUUAAGUUUAAGCACACAGAAGUGUUUUUCAAGGAAUAAAAAAUUUUACCAGGAAAAAAAAGAAAAAGAAAUAAAAGAGAAAAAUAAAAUUGCCCUGGACCAAAAGUGCUCCAGAUUUUAUAGACAUUCCAGUUUGAACUGGAUUUGGGUUUGGAUCAGGAUCAAAAUCAGAACACAGAUCCAAAUCAAUUACAGGGUGGCUCAGGAAGGCAGUUUCCAGCCCUUGGGCGUAGUGGCUUUGCUGGAGAAGAUCACUUUGACUGCCAAACUGCCAAAGCAGACCUGGGGCCCUGGGCCAGCACUGCACACACCAAUCUUGACCUGUGCCUGGUUCUCACCAGGGCCUACCAGCCCAAUCCUUAGAGGACCUGACACUUUCUACAAGUUCACAGACCAGCUCUCACCUGCUGAAACCCUGAUCCACAUCAUCCUGUUCAGAUACUGAACACACAACUGUACAGCUACGUUUCAAAUGCAGAGCCCUGCUAUGUACGGUCACUGUUACUGCAGCCACACGCUGCAGAUCCAUCAUCUCCAAUACCAAAAUGAAUAUUAAAACCCCCAAUUUCUUCUUCUGGGCUUGCUUUGCCCAGAUUGCUUUGAGGUUGCCAAACAAGUACUGUAUGUGCUGCAAAACACUGAUGUGGUGAAAUUACAGCUUGAGGAGUGAGGUGGGUCUUUGUGGUUUAGGAUAAAUCUUAUUGGAAGAGUAUAGCUUUCUUCCACGUUAGAUAAAUGCUUCUUUAUUUGAGUCAGAAAUGGAUUUUAGUCUGUCUGUAUUUGACUAUGGUGUAAAGAUUCAGAACUUAUUUUUUAUGGACUGUAAUUAAGGUAUUUACAAAGAUUUCUGUAUUAAAAGUAUUCUAUCUAC